rnacentral:lncRNA from 1 species
UGGGGAUGGGAUGGGAGAAGAUAUUUUUAAAUAUAGAAUUUAAAAAUGGGAUUUUGAACAAGGAAAAAAACACUUUUUCUUUUAAUAAGGAUUACUAAAUUCGAAGAAAGUUGCUUCAAUAUUUUCAUUUUAAAGCAACUAAACAGUAGAAAAUUCAUGAAAAAUUGAAUUUUUGAAAAACAAAUUUUAGCUAUCUUAUCGCAAAAAGCUUGAAUCAUACAAUUUGAGAUUUGAUCAUAAACACAUAUAUUUAGUAAAAUCAUUGAAAUCUUAUUUUUUUAAUCAUUACAGACUUUCUAGAUGGACUCAAC